AGUAGCGGCGAGCGAACGGGGAGGAGCCCAGAGCCUGAAUCAGCAUGUGUGUUAGUGGAAGCGUCUGGAAAGGCGCGCGAUACAGGGUGACAGCCCCGUACACAAAAGCGCAUGUGCUGUGAGCUCGAUGAGUAGGGCGGGACACGUGGUAUCCUGUCUGAAUAUGGGGGGACCAUCCUCCAAGGCUAAAUACUCCUGACUGACCGAUAGUGAACCAGUACCGUGAGGGAAAGGCGAAAAGAACCCCGGCGAGGGGAGUGAAAAAGAACCUGAAACCGUGUACGUACAAGCAGUGGGAG
rnacentral:rRNA from 1 species